rnacentral:rRNA from 1 species
AUUGAACGCUGGCGGCAUGCCUUACACAUGCAAGUCGAACGGCAGCACGGGGCAACCUGGUGGCGAGUGGCGAACGGGUGAGUAAUGCAUCGGAACGUACCUUUCAGUGGGGGAUAACGUAGCGAAAGUUACGCUAAUACCGCAUAUUCUGUGAGCAGGAAAGCAGGGGAUCGCAAGACCUUGCGCUGAUUGAGCGGCCGAUGUCAGAUUAGCUAGUUGGUGAGGUAAAGGCUCACCAAGGCGACGAUCGGUAGCGGGUUGGGGAGGAUGAUCCGCCACACUGGAACUGACACACGGGCCAGACUCCUCCGGGAGGCAGCAGGGGGGAAUUUUGGACAAUGGGGGCAACCCUGAUCCAGCCAUGCCGCGUGAGUGAAGAAGGCCUUCGGGUUGUAAAGCUCUUUCGGCCGGGAAGAAAUCGCACGGGCUAAUACCCUGUGUGGAUGACGGUACCGGAAUAAGAAGCACCGGCUAACUACGUGCCAGCAGCCGCAGUAACAC